UGGCCAGUAUCCACAAGGUAUGACAUAUUCAGAUGACUUCUGUAAGGUAUAUCAUCUCUGGCCAGUAUCCACAAGGUAUGACAUAUUCAGAUGACUUCUGUAAUGUAUAUCAUCUCUGGCCAGUAUCCACAAGGUAUGACAUAUUCAGAUGAUAUCUUUGUCAUAGGUUGAUGGGGAUCUUAUCCACUUACUUCACUUCUUGUAGACAGUAACAUUCUUAUUCACCCAGAGUUAAUAUUAUGCAAUAUGUA